GGUUAAGUUAACAAGGGCGCAUGGUGAAUGCCUUGGCACUAGGAGCCGAUGAAGGACGGGACUAACACCGAUAUGCUUCGGGGAGCUGUACGUAAGCUAUGAUCCGGAGAUUUCCGAAUGGGGCAACCCAGCAGUUUUAAUCAACUGUUACCACUAGAUGAAUUCAUAGUCUAGUUGGAGGUAAACGCUGUGAACUGAAACAUCUCAUUAGCAGCAGGAAUAUAAAGAAAUUUCGAUUCCCUAAGUAGCGGCGAGCGAACGGGGAACAGCCCAAACCAAAGUGCUUGCACUUUGGGGUUGUAGGACUGAACAUUUGAGUUACCAAAGAACUUGAUAGUCGAAGGAUUUGGGAAAAUCCGCCAUAGAUGGUGAUAGCCCAGUAGAUUAAAUCAAAUUCUCUCAGUUCAGGAUCCUGAGUACGGCGGAACACGUGAAAUUCCGUCGGAAUCCGGGAGGACCAUCUCCCAAGGCUAAAUACUACCUAGUGACCGAUAGUGAACCAGUACCGUGAGGGAAAGGUGAAAAGCACCCCGGGAGGGGAGUGAAAUAGUUCCUGAAACCAUGUGCCUACAAUAAGUCAGAGCGCGUUAAUGCGUGAUGGCGUGCCUUUUGUAGAAUGAACCGGCGAGUUAUGAUCCCGUGCAAGGUUAAGACUAAAAAGUCGGAGCCGUAGCGAAAGCGAGUCUGAAAUGGGCGAUUUGAGUACGAGGUUAUAGACCCGAAACCAGGUGACCUAUCCAUGUCCAGGUUGAAGGUGCGGUAAAACGCACUGGAGGACCGAACCCGUGUAAGUUGAAAAUUGCUGGGAUGAGGUGUGGAUAGCGGUGAAAUUCCAAACGAACUUGGAGAUAGCUGGUUCUCUCCGAAAUAGCUUUAGGGCUAGCCUCGGAUUAAGGAUCAUGGAGGUAGAGCACUAUUUGGACUAGGGGCCCGUCUUGGGUUACUGAAUUCAGAUAAACUCCGAAUGCCAUUGAUUCAUGUCCGGGAGUCAGACGAUGAGUGAUAAGAUCCACCGUCGAAAGGGGAACAGCCCAGACCAUCAGUUAAGGUCCCUAAAUGUAUGCUAAGUGGAAAAGGAUGUGGAGUUGCAUAGACAACUAGGAUGUUGGCUCAGAAGCAGCCACCAUUUAAAGAGUGCGUAAUAGCUCACUAGUCGAGUGAUCCUGCGCCGAAAAUGUACCGGGGCUAAGCAUACUACCGAAACCAUGGAUGCGACCAUUAGGUCGCGUGAUAGGAGAGCGUUCUAAGGGCGGUGAAGCAAGAUCGUGAGGACUUGUGGAGCGCUUAGAAGUGAGAAUGCCGGUAUGAGUAGCGAAAGAUAGGUGAGAAUCCUAUCCACCGAAUGACUAAGGUUUCCUGGGGAAGGCUCGUCCUCCCAGGGUUAGUCGGGACCUAAGUCGAGGCCGAGAGGCGUAGACGAUGGAUAACAGGUUGAGAUUCCUGUACUAGUUAAGUGCGUUUGAGCAAUGGAGGGACGCAGGAGGCUAAGAUGUGCAUUCUGUUGGAUUAGAAUGUCCAAGCAGUAAGUCUUGUGGAGAGUCAAAUGCUUUUCACUUUAAGGACAAGCUGUGAUGGGGAGCGAAAUUUAGUAGCGAAGCGUCUGAUGUCACACUGCCGAGAAAAGCUUCUAGUGAGUACUUAACUACCCGUACCGCAAACCGACACAGGUAGUCGAGGAGAGAAUCCUAAGGUGAGCGAGUGAACUCUCGUUAAGGAACUCGGCAAAAUGACCCCGUAACUUCGGGAGAAGGGGUGCUGAUCGCAAGAUCAGCCGCAGUGAAUAGGCCCAGGCGACUGUUUAUCAAAAACACAGGUCUCUGCAAAAUCGUAAGAUGACGUAUAGGGGCUGACGCCUGCCCGGUGCUGGAAGGUUAAAAGGAUGGGUUAGCUUCGGCGAAGCUCAGAAUUGAAGCCCCAGUAAACGGCGGCCGUAACUAUAACGGUCCUAAGGUAGCGAAAUUCCUUGUCGGGUAAGUUCCGACCCGCACGAAAGGCGUAACGAUCUGGGCACUGUCUCAACGAGAGACUCGGUGAAAUUAUAUUGUCCGUGAAGAUGCGGACUACCCGCGACAGGACGGAAAGACCCCAUGGAGCUUUACUGUAGCUUGAUAUUGAGUGUUUGUACAGCUUGUACAGGAUAGGUAGGAGCCAUAGAAACCGGAACGCUAGUUUCGGUGGAGGCGUUGGUGGGAUACUACCCUCGCUGUAUGACCACUCUAACCCGCACCACUAAUCGUGGUGGGAGACAGUGUCAGGUGGGCAGUUUGACUGGGGCGGUCGCCUCCUAAAAAGUAACGGAGGCGCCCAAAGGUUCCCUCAGAAUGGUUGGAAAUCAUUCGCAGAGUGUAAAGGCACAAGGGAGCUUGACUGCGAGACAGACAGGUCGAGCAGGGACGAAAGUCGGGCUUAGUGAUCCGGUGGUACCGUAUGGAAGGGCCAUCGCUCAACGGAUAAAAGCUACCCUGGGGAUAACAGGCUUAUCUCCCCCAAGAGUCCACAUCGACGGGGAGGUUUGGCACCUCGAUGUCGGCUCAUCGCAUCCUGGGGCUGUAGUCGGUCCCAAGGGUUGGGCUGUUCGCCCAUUAAAGCGGUACGCGAGCUGGGUUCAGAACGUCGUGAGACAGUUCGGUCCCUAUCCGUCGCGGGCGUAGGAAAUUUGAGAGGACCUGUCCUUAGUACGAGAGGACCGGGAUGGACAUACCUCUGGUGUACCAGUUGUGCCGCCAGGCGCAUUGCUGGGUAGCUACGUAUGGAUGUGAUAAACGCUGAAAGCAUCUAAGUGUGAAACACACCUCGAGAUGAGAUUUCCCAUUCCUUUAUGGAAGUAAGACCCCUGAAAGAUGAUCAGGUAGAUAGGUUAGAAGUGGCAGUGCGGUGACGCAUGAAGCGGACUAAUACUAAUCGGUCGAGGACUUAACCAA
rnacentral:rRNA from 1 species